UACGUAGGGUGCGAGCGUUUAUCGGAAUUACUGGGCGUAAAGCGUGCGCAGGCGGCGCCGCAAGUCAGGCGUGAAAUCCCCGAGCUUAACUUGGGAAUGGCGCUUGAAACUACGGUGCUGGAGUGUGGCAGAGGGAGGUGGAAUUCCACGUGUAGCGGUGAAAUGCGUAGAGAUGUGGAGGAACACCGAUGGCGAAGGCAGCCUCCUGGGCCAACACUGACGCUCAUGCACGAAAGCGUGGGGAGCAAACAGG
rnacentral:rRNA from 1 species